UACUAUUAUAAAAGAGGGACACUUACAAAUGCCUUAGGAAAUGUUCCUAGGCCAUAAAACACCUUCAGCUUCCUAAACAAGAAGACUUCAAACCAUAAGCAGGUUUUCUUGUGAUGCCUGCUGUACUUCUUGUGGUGUGUCUAACAUCAAAGCUCAGGCCCUUAUUUAUAGUUCCAAGACGAGACAACAAGUCUGAUUUUCCCGAUGUGAGACUAUGGGACUUGCCAAACUAACAAAUCUCCACCUUGGCAUGUCCCAACAAAACUUGCUCCACCUUCUUCAUAAAAGCCCCAACGGGCAAUCACCAACAAUGAAUACCAACCAAGUCCAAGCACUGCUUGAACUUGUAAACCGGAAGAGGCUUCGUAAACAUAUCAGCUGGAUUGUCCUUCGUAUGAAUUUUCUGAACAAGGACUUUUCCUUCAGCAAUCAACCACUUAGCGGAAUUAUCACAAGAAACUGCAUCUGAAUAGGAAGUAGGCUCACCAACUUCACUUGUUUCUUCUGCAACAGACAAAGCAUAUGCAACCAAAUUUGCAUACCUUUGUGGUGGUCGAAUAUUUCUCAUAUAACGCAUAUACCAUAAUUUGGUGAUGUCAGAAUCAGACAAUGAUGAUGACGAAACUGCAACUGAACCUGUGACAGUAGUUCCCUGUAGAAUAUACAAGCUACCAGACCUACAAGCUUUCAUAACAAUAAGAGCACUUCUAGAAACUUUCAUAACUCCACCUUCAGUUGUGUAUUUACACCCAAGGGCCUUUAGGGUGCCUAAAGAGAUGAGAUUCUUUUUCAAAUCAGGAACAUGUCUAACAUUAGUAAGCGUCCUCACAAUACCAUCAUGCAUUUUAAUUCGGAUUGUGCCUCUACCAACAACAUCACAUGCGGCAUUAUUGCCCAUCAAAACAAUUCCACCAUUACAAGAUUCAUAUGUGGAAAACAAAUCCCUAUUGGGACACAUGUGAUAAGAACAACCCGAAUCUAAAAUCCAUUCAUUUUUAGACCUCGUCCUGUCAUCAAUAGCAGAGAAAAUAUUUCCAACAUUCUCAUCAGUUGCUACACUAACUUCAGCGGAUUCAAUAGUUUUCUCAACAAAAUUUUCCUUUUGCUUUAAUUUAUUUUUCAAUUUAAAGCAAUCAGAUUUAAUGUGCCCCAUUUUAUGACAAUAUCUGCAUUCCAAAUUUCUAUGUCUGGAUUUAGAUCUACUACUGUCAAAUUCUCUUUUAUCCAUUCUCCCCCUAACAACCAGACCCUCAGCCUCAGCCUGAUUCUCUCUACUUUCCCCAGUGAUAUUCCUGUCUAUCUGCUCCUUAGAUUUCAGUGCAGAUUUAAUUUCUGGAUAAGAAAAUGUUUCUUUUCCAUAAAUCAAAGUAUCACGGAAAUGCUUAAAAGAUUGGGGAAGAGAACACAAGAGUAACAAAGCCUUAUCCCCAUCAUCAAUUUUUGCAUCUAUAUUCUCCAAAUCCAUAACCAAAGAAUCAAACUUAUCAAGAUACGAGAGUAUAGAUGUACCUUCAAUCAUCCGAAGCAUAUACAGACUCUGCUUCAAGUAGAGACGAUUCUCCACUGUCCUCUUCAUGUACAAGGCUUUAAGCUUGUCCCACAUGCUCUUAGCCGUAGUCUCCGUAACUACCUCCCGUAAAACCUCGUCAGAGAGAUUUAGAAUGAUGUUUGAUCGGGCCUUCUUAUCCAUACCCGCAAGCUCUUCUUUUGACAUAUAAUCUGGAAUGCUCUUGGCUCCCUGUAAUACCAAAUCAACUCCGUCUUGAACCAGAAUGGCCUCCAUCUUGAGUUGCCACAAGCCGAAGUUGACAUUUUUGUCGAAUUUCUCGACAACAAUCUUUGUUAUUGUCAUCGUUGCCAAAAGAUCUCAGAACCAGGCUCUGAUACCAGUUUGUUAGAGCUAGCCCCAGGAUAUUUACCAAAGGGUAAUUUUGGCAACACAACAAAGACAAUAAAGCGGAAAUAAUAAAAGCGACAAGAACAAACAAAACACCAGAACACCAGAUAUACGUGGUUCGGUCAAAUGACUUUGACCUACAUCCACGGAAGAAAGAGGAGCAAAUUACUAUUAUAAAAGAGGGACACUUACAAAUGUCUUAGGAAAUGUUCCUAGGUCAUAAAACACCUUCAGCUUCCUAAACAAGAAGACUUCAAACCAUAAGCAGGUUUUCUUGUGAUGCCUGCUGUACUUCUUGUGGUGUGUCUAACAUCAAAGCUCAGGCCCUUAUUUAUAGUUCCAAGACGAGACAACAAGUCUGAUUUUCCCGAUGUGGGACUAUGGGACUUGCCAAACUAACACCUUGCUCCACAAUUUGAAAGAUAAAUGCUUUACAUCGGCUCUCUUAUUUCUGAUUUCUUCCUUCGGGGGGAAAUUUGGAGUACCAAGUGAGUCUGAGGGUGUCAAAACCAAUUUUUCCUGGGCGUGAUGGAACCUUCUCGUGUUCUUAUUGGUUCAUCUUGUCCGCCAUUUUCUUUCUGGUCUUGCUUUCUUUCCUUGUGAAUGAUUGAUGAUGAUCUGAAACGUGUCAUCGUGUUGGCAAUUGGUGUGGUAGUUCUUCAACUGACAGUUGGAAAAGGGCUCUUGUGCUCCCAUCAGCAUGGAGGGCUACUCUUAUUCAGUGAACCUUUGUGUUGCUAAAGUUAUUGCAUUGCCAAUGGAGUCAAGAAAAAUAUAUUUAUUUGCUGUUUGCAUUUGUUAAGCACCAAAGUCUGUUGCUUUCUAUAAUUAUCUCCCACUGGAAUUGUAGCUUUAUGUCAAAUGGUCAAUCCUCUUUACAUCCUCCAGAU
rnacentral:lncRNA from 1 species